rnacentral:lncRNA from 1 species
AUCUACUCUGAGGUCACUACUGUGUAGACCAUGCCACGCUUACAAGUGGGGUGAGGAGCAUACAGAAGAAAUUGGAAUCACUUGAGAUGUUUAGAAAUGGGGCUUCUCUUGAGAAGGGGCUGCCCCAUUUGUGCUUCUCCAGGGGCAGGAGAAUAUCUAGGGCAAGAGAAUCCCUGCAGGGCCUCUGAGGCUCCCUUUGCUUCUUCCUCUCUCCCAGAACCCUGCAGCUUGUUGUGGCUUCUCAGCUCCUCAGGAAGGAUUAAAGAGACCGAUCCUGCAAAGCUCAUAAGGAUGGAAGGGGAAGAUGGACGGUUGACCUGGUCAGGUUGUCUCCUGCAUCCCUUCGAACAGCCUCUGAGUGUUCCCUCCCAGGGACCUCUGAGAGAUCUGGAAGAGAGCCUGGGUGUCAUCUGGUCCUGCCCCCCUGCAAGUCAGGAAUCUCAGGAAUCUCGUCCAGACCAAUUGUGAUUCAUCUUGAACUGUUUUGUAGAUGGAUGAAAAGGACUUUGGAAGACAUUUAGUGAAUAGGAAUAUUAGCCAAAGUCUUAAAAGAAAGACAAAAAAAUUGUUAUAUGUCGUCACAUGAUAUGAUGAGGGCUUAUCUGAAGAGCCAAAUGAUUUUGGUUAGUUCAGGAUGAUGACAUUGGGCUGCAACUAUUAAGAUUGCUGUGAUCCUUGAAGAUGAUGGGUUUUUUGGAGCUAGCCAACCUAACCGGAAGAGUCCGCGACCAGAAGGAGGAGGCAUAUCAGGAAGAAUGGACUAAAUUUAAUGAUUAUUUAGUUAAAUAUGUCAAGUUAGAUGAAUUGGAAUCAGCUUGCAGAUACUUAAUCGACUUAGGAUUUUAUAUAAGUUAAGUGAUGAAUUAAUAGGUGUAAUUUCAAAAUGAAAAGAUCUAAGGAUGUUAAUGUUCAAGUUAAACUUUAUAAGAACUGUGAUUUGGAAAACCCUUAAAAGGAUAUGCAUUGAAAUUCAACCAAGGGGAAGUGAGGAAGGCACUUAACAAUGUUAAUAAGUGAAAUUUUUAAUACGGUUAUGAUUUAUGUUUGUUUGUUUUAUGUGUUUAUAAUUUUGUGAAAACCAAUAAAAAAAUUGAAGUAAAAAAAAAGAUUGCUGUGAUCCUUUGAUUGGUGAAUAGGAAUGAUGUGCAAUUUGCCAUUCCAUCCAAAAAACACCUACAAUAAAAUAUAAAUUACUUAUUGAUCGGAGAAAGAGAGGCAGAUUUGACCUACCUGACCUGGAAUUAUAUCAUGCUGCAGCAGGUCUGACCUGCUUAAGGGAGUGGAUUAAGUUAAAGGACACUGACUUGUUAGAUCUGGAGGAAGUAGGAACUCAAUUUGGAUGACAUGCAUACCUAAUAGAUGGAAAGGAGAGAGUCCACAUGGGUUUUAUAAGGAAAUCAUUGUAUAAAAUAUGGAUGGAAUAUAAAGGGAUUCUAGAACCCAAAACACCUUGGUGGACCUCACCUUAGAAAUCAUGACUGUAAAGAGAAAGAAUAUGAAUAACAACUGGGCAACAUAUAAGGAUUACUGGAAGAGGAAAAUAAUAAACUUAAAUUGAAAGGAUAUAAGGAAGUUAAGAAAUAUUUGAACAAUUGGCUGCAGUUCUUUCAAAUUAAUCAGAGAUGACAAAAGAGGAAGAAAAAGGAUUUGAGAAAGAAAUUUCAAGAUUGGAUGAGUACUUACUCCAAUCUAAAAGUAAACAUAUUUCCAAACUAUAUGAUUUGCUCCUAGAAUGGGAGGUAAAGGAGGAGCAAGUGAAGAAAGCGAUGGUAAAGUAGGCCCAGGAUUUAGGGGAAAAUAUGAUGAGCCAACUACUGUGAGACAGGGAUAUUAAGAUAUUUAUUAAAGAUUUUAAACAUUAUUUUCACCAAACACAUAUAAAACCAUCACCAAAAUACAAUAAUCAAAGAAAAACAGAAAAAAGUAAAAAGAUUGACACAUAAUAAAAAACAAACAACAAAAUCAAAUACUUUAACAGCCAUAUUUUCUUCGCUUUUUGGACUUUCCUCGCAUCUCCCGUUCCUGCGUUCCCAAUUAUAAAAUUAUAAACAGCAAUUUAUCAACUUGUUUCAACUCUUAUUUUGUAAUUUUCAAAUAUUAUGUCUCCGACUUUAAAUAUUUUUAUCAAAAACUUAAGUACUUUAUUUAGACAUAAUGUUAAUCCAAAAUUUAUCUUUUUCUCAAAUCUCAUAUUAAAUUUACGGCAUGCUACAAUUUAAGAGAGAAUGUAACGAAAAUGCAAUACAGAUGGUACCUGACCCUGGUUAGACUGGCAAAAAUGCAUAAAAACUGUAGUGAUGUUUGUUGGAGAUACAACAACGGGGCGGGAACCUUUCUACACAUGUGGUGGGAGUGCAAAGAGAUUGUGGGGUUCUGGGAAAAUAUUUACAACAAGUUGAAAAAGUGAAUAAGGAGUGGGCUAUCUUUAAGGAAUACAUCAAAAGCUAUGUGGAAAAAGUCGAACUUUUGACAGAUACUUGAGUGAAUCCAGAACAUGAUUAGAGUGAAAGGAGAGUAAAGUUAAGAUAGAAGAAGAGAUUAAAGAAAUAAUGAAAUGUGUUUAAGGCAAUUGGAAAAAUAAAGUAGUGUAACAAGAACGGCUGGAAGUCAAGUCAGUUUGUGGGUGUUCAUGUGUGGGGUAGAUGUGUUGGUAUGUAUAGUAUAGGUAGGCAUAAUAUAGAGUAAUGUAGGUAUGCUUUAUGUUAGGAAAAUAACGUAUUGUGUAUAUGUACUGUGUAAAUGUCAAUGUAUGUGUUCUAUAUGUAUGUGGUUCUUUGCAGGAACAUUUGUAUUUCAAUAAAGGCCUAUCUUUCCACCUGGAGACUUCCUCCUUUUGGGGGGGGGGUUCUGUGUGGAUAACCUCCAGUCUGGGUGCCUCUUUUUGAAUUUCUACUACAUAUACAUGACAGGAUUUUUUUUUAAAAAUUGAAAGUGAUUUAUAAUGAGAUUGAAUAUAAUUAUUGGUAGAAACUAUUUAAAACAUUCAAAAAAUGAAUCAGCAAUACAUUUUUUCUUAGUGUUUACAGUUCAGUUUACAGAUGGUUGGGGCGGGGGGAGGGCACAACAUGCCGAAGCAGAGCCCAUCUUUUUCAAGGGAUCCUUAGUAAACCUGGGAACGUCUGCAUGUAAUCCCACCAUAAAGGAGGCUGGAGCCUGAAAGGCAAAAGCAUUGGCCCCAAAGGGCGAUUUUCCCCAUGGAGACCUGGGACCCCUUCUCCUUCUAAAGGGACCUCCAAGGAGGAAGCCAGGGCUGCCAGGGCGGAUCAUCGGGUGACAAUGUUU